CCUACGGGUGGCAGCAGUGAGGAAUAUUGGUCAAUGGGCGCGAGCCUGAACCAGCCAAGUCGCGUGAAGGAUGAAGGCCCUACGGGUUGUAAACUUCUUUUAUAUAGGAAUAAAGUGAGGCACGUGUUCCGUUUUGUAUGUACUUUAUGUAUAAGGAUCGGCUAACUCCGUGCCAUCAGCCGCGGUAAUACGGAGGAUCCGAGCGUUAUCCGGAUUGAUUGGGUUUAAAGGGUGCGUAGGUGGGCUUUUAAGUCAGCGGUGAAAGUUUGGGGCUCAACCAUAGAAUUGCCGUUGAAACUGGGAGUCUUGAGUAUGUGAGAGGCAGGCGGAAUGCGUGGUGUAGCGGUGAAAUGCUUAGAUAUCACGCAGAACCCCGAUUGCGAAGGCAGCCUGCGGGGC
rnacentral:rRNA from 1 species